AGGACCUUGCGCUUUUGGAGCGGCCGAUGCCUGAUUAGCUUGUUGGUAAGGUAAAAGCUUACCAAGGCUUCGAUCAGUAGCUGGUCUGAGAGGACGGCCAGCCACACUGGGACUGAGACACGGCCCAGACUCCUACGGGAGGCAGCAGUGGGGAAUUUUGGACAAUGGGGGCAACCCUGAUCCAGCCAUGCCGCGUGAGUGAAGAAGGCCUUCGGGUUGUAAAGCUCUUUCAGCCGGAACGAAACGGUUACGGUUAAUACCCGUGAUUACUGACGGUACCGGAAGAAGAAGCACCGGCUAACUACGUGCCAGCAGCCGCGGUAAUACGUAGGGUGCGAGCGUUAAUCGGAAUUACUGGGCGUAAAGCGUGCGCAGGUGGUUUUGUAAGUCAGAUGUGAAAGCCCCGGGCUCAACCUGGGAACU
rnacentral:rRNA from 1 species